GAGUCUUUCUCUCCUUAUCCCCCGAGCAUUUCGGUCCCUCGUGAUUCGACUUCUCUUUCUGUAGUUUUAGUAUAGUAAGGUGAGCGCUGAAGCGCUGCACGAAUCUUUCUUAGAAAGAUUCAGCGACGAAGUUCUGCCCCUGCAGAGCCCGACUCCUAGCUAAAAUCCCCUUGUAAGUUUCGUCGAAGGAAAUUAUUUUAAAGUAAACGAAGCGCUGUCCGAGUACCGAGUCACCACCUUCUCAAGUGUUGAUAUGAAGUGACAUUACACUGAGAGAUUUAAAGAGAUGUAGAUCACUAGUGUAAAUAAUUGUAGUGGCGCUUGAGCAUAAAUAUGAUGUUUGGACGAAGGAUUACGGAUAUAGGCCUGUAGAUACGAAAUAAUGUAGUAAGGCUUAUAUUGUACUGUUUAUGCUUUUGAUCUGUACGAACAUGACAU